CAGGAUACAGGUAGGUUUUUUUUUUGUUGGAGCUAAACUCUGCAGGGACACAGGCUCUCCAAGAUCAACGUUCCCCACCCCUGUUGUAGAUGAUCAUAUUUCCACAGGUUGGCUCUAGCCUUGUUGCAGUUUCCACUCCCUGGAAGAUCAACAAGCACAAUGUGUUCCAGAAGUUCACGACAGUCUGGAAUCUUGAUUUUCACACUCUUCACCAGCGGCCAGUACCAGUGACCAGUUCUUGAUGUGUUGUGUUCCCUAUGUGACGAGAGGGGUGGGAUCGAGAGCCAUAAGAAUAGGUCGAGGCUGGUGGAGUGAAUGAUAAUGAGCGACAUCUGCACAAUUCACCUGUCUCGAGUUCCACGGAGGAGCUCCAGAAGGAUAAAAGGAGGAAUGACUACAGCUUCAGGAUAAGAGAGGACCAGGCCUGGACUAUUUACAUUGUUGCUGUUUUUUAAACUUUAGUUUUGUGUUUGUUUAUUUGAUUAUUAAAGUUUUGUUUAAAUAUUCCCUAACUCAUUUUUCCCAUAGCUACGAACUUUGUUACAUCCUAAUUUUCUGAAAUUAUUAUUUUUUUUUACACAAUUUAAUGGAACAGUUAGAAAUGGACUUAUUCAUGAAUUACUUGCCUGUUGUCAGUUGUAGCUGUGAACUGUGAAACCUGUUACUUGAAUCUGAUUGAUCCUCAUCACGUUUUCUCUUCAUACCUAUUAAAGAAUCAAAAAAAAA